CGGACUGAGACCUACGAGAGAAGGCGCCGGCUAGCGAGAACCUCAGGGAAGGACCAGAGGGCACAGACGCCACGCUUUUCCAGGUGAGCCCUGCGCAGCAGGGAGGGGAGAGGGUCACUGGGACAGCUGCCACAGCAACAUCACCCCGGAAACCUGAUACCUGAGCCUCCCGCUAAGAUGCCCAGAGCUCUGCCAACCUCCUGAGGCCAGUGGAGGUUUUAUGGGCUGCGGUCAGAGGGACCUCAGAUGACAGUGAUCUUCAAGCACCUAACUGGUUGGGGUGACACCCCCUCCCCCUCAUCCUUCGGAGACGAACCAAGGGAGAAAGCUUAACCGAAAAAGGCUUAAAGACAUAGAUUCCAAUCUCUCCCCUCUUCCAUUUCGGAUCUUUGGGGGCAGGGCCUUCACCCUAGGGGGAGCCGAGGAGGCUACAGCUCAAAGACAAGGGGCAAAAAAGAGGGAGAGAGACCUUGGUGAUGGACAAACCGGUUGUUUCUGUG